UAUAAACAUAUACUGUAUACACUUAAACAUACACAUAUACUACAUUUUAAGUCUUCAAUUCUAGCCCUGGCUUAGGACUUCAGUGUCAGUCAGCAAAUGUGGUUAGAGAGAGAGGAAGACAUUUCAGAAAUACAAGAAGAACAAGAAGGAAAGAGGUCGGAUGGUUCAUGAAGUCUGGUUUGGAUGGACCACAGUAACGGGCCUGUGCGGUCCUGUGAUGAUACCAGGGGCCUGUCUGAAGCACAGCGCUCAAGCUGUGCAAGCAUCUCUCCCCGACACCCACAUCCACAGUCUGUCAGAACAGAAACACUGUAGAUAAAGACAGCAACACACUAAAGAAGACAGAGCAAGAAAGUGUGGAAAUUCCCCAAGUCAAAUUUUUGGGACAUCUUUGAAAGAAGCCUGUCUUCUGAAUAAUAGAAUAGCUUUGGGUCCUGUACUUGGCUUAAAGAAACUGCAACCAUAAUUAAAAGCAAGAAGGCUGGUUCUCCUUGAGCAAGUCCUGAGCUUCCACUAGGGGGAGAACUGGGCUCCACCUGAGCAGGCCACAGUCAUCGAGGGCGGGCUGCGUGGAGACACUUGAGAAGCUCGCCUGUUCAAGAGCUCUGCCAGCAGAGCAGGAAACCAGCAACAGUCCAGCGUGAAGGCACGGGCAUGUCUGUGGUCCAAUAAAACCGUAAGGUAAACGGCAAAGGCUGUGGGGAGGUCAGAAUCCUGGCCCAUACUUUGCUGAUUUCUGCCCUUGUUGUCUCCUUGAACCCAGGAGAUGAUCCGACCUUCUCCAGUGCUGGCCUCCUCCCUGAAUUUUUCUGCAGCCACUCGUGUUUUCGGAGGCCUGGAGCAUUCCCACUUCAAACCUCCACCUGGUGGACUGCUCGCCGGGCUCAUUUCAACAUAUCACUGUGUUCUUUCACAUUCAAAGCCCAUACAUGAUCAUAUUUAUUUGCUUCUUGAUAACUAUCUUUCUAGUCCCAAUAAAAUGUAAAUGUCUUUAUAGUCCUAAUUGGUCUUUGUCACUGCUAUAUCCACAGCAACUAGAACAUUACCCACCUCCUGGGAGCUACCUAAGAUACAUUUGGUGGGUGAAUUUGCUGAAUGAAGUGGACUUAAGAAGUUUAUGUGAAACAGGGCUUUCUCUGACGCUGUAACCGCUAAGUCACUCCAGAUUUGCCACUCUAUCUUUCUCUGUGGUGCUCUAGUAGCUCUGGCCUACUCAGGGGGGAUCCAGUCAUUCAACUGUCACCCACUUUCCAUUUUAGCAAGAGAUUCUUGAAAGAUUCUGAAGAGUUGCAGAACGAUCAACAUUAGCAAAACUAUCAUUUUUCUUAUCCUGAUGCCACUCUAAACUUAGACACUCCUUCAGUUAAGUUAAUUCUUAAGCAUAUUUUAAAAUACUUGAUGUCACAGAUCUUUCUCCCAAAGAGUGAUGGAAAGAGGAUCCCAGAUUUGGCUUCAAACACAUGUGACAAUUUAGUGUGGUCUAACAAAUGCUUCUUUAUGUAGGAAUGUAAGGAAUCUGGGUCUAAAAUCUCUCAGGUUCACCUGCAACACAAGGUUCUCAUCUGAAUGACAGGAGCCAGUUAACUGAUAGAGGAAAGACAGGCACAUGGACCAGGCCUAGCAGCAAGGCCUGCACAGACAGCAAAGCUGGGAACCCUGGUAGGGUCUGUUUAUUGAACUUCUCUCCUCUCUCAUAGGUGCACAGGAAAAUUCAGGGGGAACAGAGCUAUGAAUAAAAUCAGAAAAACUGUUUUU